UGCAUUGCUGUGUGUCUGCCACCGCUGCCUGGCACUCACGGGGCCGUGUGUGUGUCUGUGUGUGUGUGUGCGUGUACAUGUAUGCAUAAACGCGUGCUGUAUGUGAGCCUCCUGGGCAUGGGUGGGGGUUGGCACUGCGGUUGCCAAUCUAGUGUCCAGCCAGAAGGACAGAGGGAUGGAGUGGAAGGAGGGGAGAGGUUCGGGGCCCGGGAGGGCAGGACGGGGUGCACGGCAUGCUCCGUGGUGCCUGCUUACAGGCAUUGGCACUGCAGCUGCCACCCUUGUGCCCGCGGAGAUGGGAGGAGGGGGUGGGGAGGGGGGCGGCGGCAGGAGUCCUGGUGCUCUGAGAGGAAGGAUCGCUACCCGGGGGCCAUUGGCAUCACACCCGUCAGGCUGGUGGCCCGAUCUGGGGCGGUGGGAACAGGGGCCCCAGGAGACAGAGAGGAGGGGCAGGGGGAUGUUAAUGAUGUUGCUGUCCCUCUGGAGCUCAGCUCUGAGAAACGGUUGGACUAUGAGGUAGUCAGCCUUCCUCCAGUCUGGGAAAGUAAAGUGGUGGAAAGAGUAGCCAGGGAAGUGCCAAGAAAGUGUCUAAGAGCCAGGAGGAGGGAUUGUGCCACUGCUCCCUGGGAGAGCUCCUCGGGGCUGGCAGUCUGGCCCUUUGUGAAAAGCAAGGGGACAUGGGGGUGAGGCAUUGAGUGCUGGCACUGCCUGAGGAGCCUGGCACGGGCUCUGGCGUUGUGUGGAAUGGAGGAGGGUGGCAGUGCGUCUUACCAAUCUGCUUGAGAGCGUUGCCGUGCCAGGAGUGAGAAGGGAGGUGAGAUGUUCCGUGUGUGUGUGCAUGUGUGUGUAUGUGUGUGUGUGUGUGAGUUGUUUGGGAGAACAGACUUUUUUCUGCCAGGACCUCCUUGCUGUUGCCUCUUAGGCAUGGGGAGUGGAGCAACAGAUGGAGAGAGGCAUGAGGACACAAAGGAGGAAGCACGCCAUUGCCAAGACCCCAAGGAAGAAGGAUGGAGAGCGCUGGCAGUCCUGUCUGGCCCCCGGCCAGUUUCCUGCUGAAGAUGGCCAAAUCCUCUUGCCUGAGGCAGUGUCCUUGGCAGUGCCACAGAACUGGACCUUGGGCCUCCGUCUGGAAGAACAUCGAGGAGGUGGGGCUUUCCUUGCUUUCUGGGUAGCCUGGAGCCCUGGAUUAGUACCUAGGAAGAUACUCGGGAGAAGAUUCGGCUCUGGGUGAUGUUGAGGGAGACUGGGUGGCUCUGAUGGCAGUCAAGCCAUGGCCAUGCUGGACUCAGCUGCUUAGGGUUGGGGGAGUUCUCGUUUCAGCAUUUCUGCGAGCGAAUGCCAGCUUCAGAAGAAGGGACAUGGUUUCCACAGCAGAGGAAAAAGCAGGGAGACACUCAGCCAAAUGGGCUCUUCUCCUGCACCCUCUGGAUCAAUGGCGCCUGGCUGGCUGUUCUCGGUCUCUGCUGGUACAACCUCAGCUGCCUAAGGGGGACCCUAAGCCCAGCCUUCGGGCCGAAGACCUCCUAGGAGACAGGAAGACGCUGGGGAGCUCGUCCAGGGCUUCCUCUCCCUGCAGCCUUCGGGGCAGGCCCACAGCUCCCAUCUCCUUCCGACAGGCCCUGGCCCGGCCCGAAGUGGAUUCCAUUCUUCUGUUUUUCUACUUCCUCUCUCCUUCCUGACCAGCUCCUGCUGCCCCCAACACCUAGCGUUGCUGGAACACCGGUCACCAUUCGGAAUCACUGGGUGAUGCCUCCUCACCUCCCUUCCUGUUCUCUACUCUCCACCCAGCAAAGCCCCUGCCCUUCUCUGCCUCCUCCCUCCCAAGAGCCUCUUGCUUCCCCCGUUGCUCGGCCGCCCCACUGUUCCCCAAGUCUGCUUUUAUCACCCCUUCUCGGCUGGCUCCUUUCCACCUGUUCUCGCGCACAGAGCCGUUUCUCCUCCCUGGCAUCACCUUCUCCCCAGCCCCGGCUCCCGCCCCCUCGCGGUCCCCUGUUCCUCACCGGAAGUCCGGAGCUGCCCGUGGCUGAAGCUCAGGAUACUCUGCAGGGCCGAGAGCCCUUCCUCGG